rnacentral:rRNA from 1 species
AACGAACGCUGGCGGCAUGCCUAACACAUGCAAGUCGAACGAGACCUUCGGGUCUAGUGGCGCACGGGUGCGUAACGCGUGGGAACCUGCCCUUAGGUUCGGAAUAACUCCCCGAAAGGGGUGCUAAUACCGGAUAAUGUCUUCGGACCAAAGAUUUAUCGCCUUUGGAUGGGCCCGCGUUGGAUUAGCUAGUUGGUAGGGUAAAAGCCUACCAAGGCGACGAUCCAUAGCUGGUCUGAGAGGAUGAUCAGCCACACUGGGACUGAGACACGGCCCAGACUCCUACGGGAGGCAGCAGUGGGGAAUAUUGGACAAUGGGCGGAAGCCUCAUCCAGCAAUGCCGCGUGAGUGAUGGAGGCCUUAGGGUUGUAAAGCUCUUUUACCCGGGAUGAUAAUGACGGUACCGGGAGAAUAAGCUCCGGCUAACUCCGUG